UACGGAGGAGGCAAGCGUUAUCCGGAAUUAUUGGGCGUAAAGCGUCCGCAGGUGGCACUUCAAGUCUGUCGUCAAAGACUGGGGCUUAACCCUGGAAAGGCGGCGGAAACUGAAGCGCUAAAGUGCGGUAGGGGUAGAGGGAAUUCCCGGUGUAGCGGUGAAAUGCGUAGAGAUCGGGAAGAACAUCGGUGGCGAAAGCGCUCUACUGGACCGCAACUGACACUCAGGGACGAAAGCUAGGGGAGCGAAUGGG
rnacentral:rRNA from 1 species